CACGAGCGGGGGCGGCAGGAAUGCGCGCCUGAUGGUAGGGUGAGAGGCUGCGGGUCCGGAAAUGGCCAAGGGUCCCCUGGAGUGGGAGCAGGGUCCGAGCCCGAGCCUGCCGCAUCUUCCGGGAGCGCAGCUGGGGGCGGCUCUCCGCCUGGCUGCCCCUGGGUCUGGUUGGCUUCAGUUUCCGCGUCCCCCUUCAAAGGAAGUCUGAGCCCACCCUGCCACCGCGGAUAAACUGCUGUUCCUUCUGUCGCCGAUUCCCUAGCGUUUAUAUUUUAGACUGGAGUGUCAUUUCUAAUUAUUUUUCUAUUACACUCUUCUUAAUGUCCGUCCCUCUCUUGGGAAGUUAAAAGAAGGCAUCAGGUUGGAUCAGGUAAAGACUUACUUUAGAGGCUGGCCAGAUGGUUCAGUGGGCAAACGCAACUGCCACCUAGGCAUAUUUGAGUUGAAUUCCCAGGACUCACAUGGUCAGAAAGAACCAACAAUAUGUUGUCCUCUGACCUCCACACGUGCAACUUGACCUGAGCAACACACAUACACAUGCAUGCACGCGCACGCACACAUAGACAUACACACACCUGCUUUCGACAAAAUUCUUUUCAAAAAUGAAGACAGACAUGAUAGCCCAUGUAGCAGGCUGGAAGAUUGCUGAACAUUUAAAGGCAACCUGAGUUACAGAGUGAAUAUCGGGUCAGCCCCUGCUGCCGUGUAAAAGGGCGCCUGAAAUGUAGCUCAUCUGGCAAAGUUGGUAAAGUGUUUGCCUAGCA
rnacentral:lncRNA from 1 species